rnacentral:miRNA from 12 species
CGUGGUCUCUUAGUGGCAUCAC